rnacentral:rRNA from 1 species
CCAAUAGCGUAUAUUAGUGUUGUUGCGGUUAAAAAGCUCGUAGUUGAAUUUCGGGAUUGGGAUAUAUCGGUCAUGCCUUUAGGGGCAUGAAUCGGUGUGUAGCCAAUUUCUCACCUUCUGGUGAAUUGGGAUGCUCUUGGGUGUUUCAAUGAACUAGGACUUUUACUUUGAAAAAAAUAUAGUGUUUAAAGCGGGCAUUUUUGCUUGAAUACAUUAGCAUGGAAUAAUAAAAUAGGACGAUGGUUCUAUUUUGUUGGUUUUAGGACCACGUAAUGAUUAAUAGGGAUAGUUGGGGGCAUUAGUAUUCAAUAGUCAGAGGUGAAAUUCUUGGAUUUAUUGAGGACUAACUACUGCGAAAGCAUUUGCCGAGGAUGUUUUCAUUAAUCAAGAACGACAGUUAGGGGAUCGAAGACGAUUUAUGUACGUCGUAGUCUUAACCACAAACUAUGCCGACUAGGAAUCAGACAAAGUUCAUUUUUUAACGACUUGUUUGGUACCUUACG